rnacentral:rRNA from 1 species
GGCGAACGGGUGAGUAAUACAUAGGUAACCUGCCCCUGUGCGGGGGAUAACAGGAGGAAACUCCUGCUAAUACCGCAUAGCCAUGAGCACCGCAUGGAGCUCAUGCCAAAUAUCCUUUCGGGGAUAGCGCAGGGAUGGACCUAUGGCGCAUUAGCUGGUUGGCGGGGCAACGGCCCACCAAGGCAACGAUGCGUAGCCGGCCUGAGAGGGCGGACGGCCACAUUGGGACUGAGACACGGCCCAGACUCCUACGGGAGGCAGCAGUAGGGAAUUUUCGGCAAUGGGGGAAACCCUGACCGAGCAACGCCGCGUGAGCGAAGAAGGCCUUCGGGUCGUAAAGCUCUGUUGUAAAGGAAGAACGGCGCAUACAGGAAAUGGUAUGCGAGUGACGGUACUUUACCAGAAAGCCACGGCUAACUACGUGCCAGCAGCCGCGGUAAUACGUAGGUGGCGAGCGUUAUCCGGAAUCAUUGGGCGUAAAGAGGGAGCAGGCGGCCGCAAGGGUCUGUGGUGAAAGACCGAAGCUAAACUUCGGUAAGCCAUGGAAACCGGGCGGCUAGAGUGCGGAAGAGGAUCGUGGAAUUCCAUGUGUAGCGGUGAAAUGCGUAGAUAUAUGGAGGAACACCAGUGGCGAAGGCGACGGUCUGGGCCGCAACUGACGCUCAUUCCCGAAAGCGUGGGGAGCAAAUAGGAUUAGAUACCCUAGUAGUCCACGCCGUAAACGAUGGUCACUAAAGUGUCGGGGGGUCAAACCCC